UUCUUUCAUUUCUCUCACUUAUAUAUAUAUUUAUUGGUCUUCACACGCUCCCUCCCCAAGUGGAACAAUGCACGGGCUCAUUUCGGAUGGCGACAUCACGCCAGUCUUGUCAACUUUUUGUUUCCCCCUCCCUGUAUGUUUUUUCUUCCACCCCCCUGCACACUCCAUUCGCUGCUUUCAAGAUAGACGCACAAACCAGGAUUUAUUGUUUUUCUUAUUGACUUCGUUUUUACAACCAGGGUUCCUUCUUCUCUCGUUCAUUUUUGGUAUUUUCCGUGCGUUUUUUUUUUGCGCGUAGGAAAGCAGCAAAGUGAGAAUCUGCCAUGAAGGCGUUUUCAUCCAUUCAGGUGCCCUUUUUUAAGUUCAGCAUCUUGUUAAUUGGUGCGCGGUAGCUUUAUCUGUACGCGCGUGAAAGUAAAAAUGUGUGUCUGUGACUAUGAGUGUGAGUGUCUGGCAGUAAUUCCCGAAGCGUGCCACGGAAUGUGAGAACUGUGCAUCGCAUGAAAAAAAAAAAGCAUUGCGCUCACUCGUUAGGGUCAAUUUUUACUCCUUUUUUUCCGCCCAUAUAUUGAAUAGUUUUUCUUGGUCAGUCUGUUAGUUUGAAAAUAGUGUGCAACGUAUUUGCAUAUUUACUUUUUGGUUUAUGUUACAAUGAUUAUUGCACCUGAAUUAUGUCUUUAUUUAUUAAUAUAUUCACGUUUCCUUUACUUUUUUUUGCCGAUUUAUUUCGUGUUAGAUUGGCCACACAUUCAUAAUUUGUUAAUAAUGAAAUAGUGUAUUAUUAUGUACAUCUUAAUAUAUUUGUGAUAAUAAUUAUGAUUGUAUUUCGUAGUUGUGCAUUAUUCAUAUGUAUAUAUUAGCAUUUACAAACGGUGUAAGAAAAAAAAACAAAAAAAAAACGGCAUGAUCUUUUAUGCCGUACUUUUAUAUAUUAUUAUGAUUCAAAGCAGUGUAUUUUCUCUGCGCGUGUGGAUUGCGUCUUUGCUGUCUGGUUCAAGUCCCCGUUAAGCCGAAAGGGAUCGCUGUAGGCGCUGCUAAAGAGCGUGUGCGCGCGCGACUGAUGAUCACGUGGUUAAAAAAAAACUGCAACGCAAAAAAGGGUGAAAAAAGAGUGAUGACGUUGGAGAGCGGAGAGCGGCGAAGGCAGCCUUUCCAAAAAAGAAGGGGAAAAGCGGAGGAGGGGAGGGCGAAACAAAAGCGAGUCGAGCGUCUAAUGAACAGAUGACAGCGCGGGACAGCAGCAUGAUGCUGAUACGACAACAAGACUCACCGGAAUGGAACCCUUUUUCUUUAUUCUUAUAUUUGAAAGCACAAAUGCUAAUUGCAUUGAUGAUAGGGUUGAAAAUCGUGCCAACUGCACACACAGAUGUAUGGUGUUCAUCUGAUGGCGCCGCCCACCCUCAUGGGGCUGAAUGGCAGACUGCUGCGAUGCGCUAAGUGAUGAAAUGAUGACCCCAUUAUGAGAAGUGGCUCCAAAAUGAGGGGGUAUCGGCCAAAGAUUGCGGACCGCCGCCACCGCCGCCAUUCUUCUCCUCCUCCUGCUGCUUGCCCCGCUGCACACACGAUGAUUGAUUUGCUUGAGAUGGAUCACAGGAAGCAGCUAUUGAUUUUUCCUGUCCCUGCCUAUAGUGUUUUAUGAAGAAAAUACUUAUUUACACUUGGGUGUUUUCCAGACUUACUCAAUAUCCACUUUUUUGGGGGGGAGGAUAAAGGAUCUAAUUGUCCUUGCUCAGUGACGUGAUAAAUGACCUGUAAUAUUAUUUCAGUAGGGAGUCAAUAGGCGGGCUGACUAAAUGAAUAUUGAUUGGUUACAAUGAAGCCUUGAAUGUGGAUGGGAGCCUUCUGUCAGGGCCUUGCAGUCAGCAAGCAUUCAGACUGAUGAUGCCCCGCGUACACUUACAGAGGCCAAAAUACAGUGAAAAGUCAGAGUUACACUUUUUUUUUCUCACAAAUUGUGGAAAUCAAUCAAUCCCUUUCAGGUUCCCACUGAACCAUCAUAAAACCUUGACUGUUAAAGGAAUGUUUGAAGCGAUAUUGAUUUGAAACCUUUAAAAACAAAUUUUAAAAAAUACAGUAAAACAAAAACAAAAUCUGGCACUGGCAUCUGGAACUUAAAUAAAAAAAUCCCUUACUCAUGACAUUUUAAACCUUUUGUCCACUUAUAUCAGUUAUCAACAGGAAAUGCUGGUUCACGACUGUACAGUUCAAGUUACUACCACCCACUGGAGUUUUCUAUUCUUCCUCUAAUAUUGUGUUUACUUGAUGCUGAAGUACACUGUAUGAACUAUCUUUUGUUAUGCGCUGCAAUGGUCAUUACUAUUGUAUGAAAACAUUACGCUAGACAUUAUUCACCUUUUGUAAGUAUGAACCAGUUAUAAAUAGUAAGCGCUGGCUCACGAUUUGGCAAAAUCAAACUACACCACACACUAGCGUUAACUAUCCUGUGUCUUAUUCGGUGGUUGCCUUAAGCUUUGACCAUUUCAAAAUAGCAAACGUGGACAUAUUUUAAAGUGAAAGAAGUAUCACUUUUUUACCACUACAUAACCGCAUAAAUGUGUGUGCACUAUCUGGCAAGCCUGAGGUCAUUUGCACUGUUAUUUAACAAUGUCUAGCACAUUAUUAAGACUGAGCAAAAAAUAAAAAAUAAAUUAACCUUUGUAUUAACAAUGUAUAAACCCUUUAUGAUAAAGGGUCCUCAUUAUAAAAGUGGCAUCUAAAGUAGUACAUUAGUUCUCUUCUCACCACUGACCCCGCGUAUAAAAAGAUGACAUGAAAUGACUCACACUUUUACACACGGUGUAUGCAAAAGUGGGGAGCAGACAUCUUGCCAAUUCAGCGUAAACAUUGUGUAGCUGAUCUGUAUGAUUCAGUCACCAACAGUAAUUGAUGGUUCAAGCUACUAAUCAAAUGAAAAUUAAAUUAAAAUUAAAAAUAAGUUGCAAAAAUAAGUUAAUAAAAGACUAAAUUAAAUUCAGCAUGAACACUAUAUUGAAAAUGUAGUUUACCCAAAAGUCGUUUAAGGAUAUCUUUGAAGGUGAAAAUGCGUGUGUGUGUGUGUGUGUGUGUGCGUGGCCUACAAGUAACUGGUCACAAAUCCAGGGUUUACCUUGCUUCCCUCACUUGGGAUCAGAUCCAGCUCACCUGUGACCCAAAUUAGGAUGAGUGGUAUAGAAACAUGGAUGGAUGCACUGCGAGCCAUUCUGAGUGGUAAACAUCCACGUAAAUAUCAUCACUGAACAUCAUCAAGAUGCGCAGGGCGGCUUUACCCAAGAGCAACAUGUUCCGUCAAGUUAAACAGACGAGCGAGAUGCUAACAGCCACUGCACUGUACACAUUGGCAGCAACUAUAAUCCACUCGAAAAGGAGUGUGUGGCUUGGCCUGCAUUUCAUAUAUAUACAGUAUAUAUAUAUAUGUGUGUGUGUGUGUGUGUGUGUGUGUGUUUGUGUGUGUGAGGCGUAAUGAAAUUUGACACGGUUGGUGAUAGAUCACAACCCAGGUAAUGUAAACACAUGAAUCCCUCAGGGUUCAGCCACUGUUCCACUGCAGCCCUCCCCACACCAGACCCCCACCUUCCCCUCUCCACUCCAUGCCCAUCAUCUUCCCUAAAUGUGUUAUUCGAGCACAACACCAGAAGUAGCCUUAAUCUGUCAACAUGGCCUUUAAUUGGACCACCGGAAGAAAAAAAAAAACAAACAUAAACGAUGCCACUCCAAAGUGCACACAUGCCGUAAGAAGGACGUUUAUCCCAAGAGAGCUCAGAAGGCAUAAUUAAAAGUAGCUUUUAAUAGGCUUGUAAUGCAGAGCCGCCGUAGAGGGCGAACAUGUGAGGGGG